rnacentral:tRNA from 1 species
GCAGAUGUGGCCGAGUGGUUAAGGCGACUGACUCGAAAUCAGUUUCCAUCUUGGAGCGCAGGUUCGAAUCCUACCAUCUGCG